rnacentral:rRNA from 1 species
UUCCGGUUGAUCCCGCCGGACCCGACUGCUAUUUGGGUGAGGAUAAGCCAUGCGAGUUGUAUGGGAUACCUAAAAUUCCCAUAGCAAACUGCUCAGUAACACAUGAUCAACUUACCCUAUGGAAAAAAAUAACCUCGGGAAAGUAUCAUACCGAUUUAAAAAUAAAUUAUAAUAAUAGUCUGUGAUACCCCGAAACUGAGGAUAAUGUUUUAUAGUUGAAUAGGCUUGGAAAAGUUUUUCAAUGAAAGGGAAAAGGAGAAUGGUUCUUUUCUGCCAUAGGAUAGGAUCGUGGUCGAUUAUGGUUGUUGGCGAGGUAACGGCUCACCAAGCCGAUAAUCGAUAGGGGCCGUGAGAGCGGGAGCCCCGAGAUGGGUACUGAGACAGCGACCCAGGCCUUACGAGGCGCAGCAGGCGCGAGACCUCCGCAAUACACGAAAGUGUGACGGGGUUACCCAAAGUGUUUUUUGAACUGUGGUAGGUGAGUAAUGUCCCCUACUAGAAAGGAGAGGGCAAGGCUGAUUGGAUUGAGGAAACAAUAAUCCUCCUCCAAGUCUAAGUGCCAGCCGCCGCGGUAAAACCAGCUCUUCAAGUGGUCGGGAUAAUUAUUGGGCUUAAAGUGUCCGUAGCCGGUUUAGUAAGUUCCUGGUAAAAUCGGGUAGCUUAACUAUCCGUAUGCUAGGAAUACUGCUAUACUAGAGGGCGGGAGAGGUCUGAGGUACUACUGGGGUAGGGGUGAAAUCUUAUAAUCCUUGUAGGACCACCAGUGGCGAAGGCGUCAGACUGGAACGCGCCUGACGGUGAGGGACGAAAGCCAGGGGAGCGAACCGGAUUAGAUACGUCGGUGUAGUUGUUAAUAAAUGCUAACAUCACGCUAAAAACCCGGGUAGUCCUGGCCGUAAACGAUGCAUACUAGUGAUGGUACGGCCAUGAGCCGUAUCAGUGCCGUAGGGAAACCGUUAAGUGUGCCGCCUGGAAGUACGGUCGCAAGGCUAAAACUUAAAGGAAUUGGCGGGGGAGCACACAAGGGUGAAGCCUGCGGUUCAUUUGGAUUCACGCGGCAUCACUAGUUGCCGCCGCCUGCAGUCGACCAUAUGGAGAGCUCCACGCGUGAUGCAUAGCUGAGUAUUCUAAUAUUCACUAUAGCUUGACGUAAUCAUGUCAUAGCCUGCUUCUGUGUGGAAAUUGGUUUAAUG